CUGGGAAAAAAAUCUACGACCUGGGAAAGGAAAGAGCCAGUUGAGGAAAAGCCCUUUGUCCCUUCUUUGUUUAUAUCUCCAACUUCCCGAUUUUUCCUGUGGCUGUGAUGGCCAGGAUGUGGCAGCCCUCUGGUUAUAACAGUGUCACAAAUCCUUCAUUGAGGCUGCCUUGCAACCCAAGCUCUGCCUCUCUCCAAUCCUCUCUUUCCCUCCCUUCAUAGGUGCAGAUGCUGAGAGCACUUUCUAGUCAAGUCCUGCAUGUUCAUUUCUGUCUCAAGUCAGCUUCUCUGAGAAUCCAAUUUAUAAAAAUAUAUUUGUGAAUGUAUAAGUAAAGUGACUUGGAUUUUGUCUACGUACAAGGACUUCUAUGCCUGCAUAAAACAGCUUUCAGAGUGACUAACCAUACCAGUUUGACCAAGACUGUAUUGGCUGCAGCACUUAAAAGCUCACAUCCCGGAAAUCCUUUGGUCCUCGGUGAAUUGGGAUGGUUGGUUACCCUAUUACUGAUGAUUGUAAUUCUCAGGAAAGAGAUCUUCAUGUAAACAGAGUCCCUCUUAUUGGCUGAAGUGAAGAGUCAUUCUGAGGCAUCUCAAGAUGAAGGUUUCCUAUUUGUGAUUAUGAAAAAAAUGUCAAGAACAAGUCCCUUGGUGUUCUUAGACCAAAGUCAGAACAACAGACCUAGUAAGUAUUCUCUCAGCAUUCAUUACAUGUUAGCAACCUUCAAAGCAGUUUGUGUUCCCUCAUAUGGUCCUCCAUGAGGUAAGUAUCAGAGCUAUAGUAAGAUCUAUUUAACAGUGAGACCCAAAUGUGUCCCAAGACCACUCAGGAUUGCCCUGGUAACCCUGAAGCUCGAAAAUCCCUGAGAUCAAGACUGAAGGAGUCUGUGUUGUUCCUCCCGCAUGCUUCUUCCUUGCAUGUCCCUUUUUCUUCCCUUUCUGUAUCCUUUCUUCCCCAU
rnacentral:lncRNA from 1 species